rnacentral:rRNA from 1 species
GACGAACGCUGGCGGCGUGCUUAACACAUGCAAGUCGAACGAAGUGGCGAACGGGUGAGUAACGUGUAAUCAACCUGCCCUUCAGAGGGGGACAACAGUUGUAAACGACUGCUAAUACCGCAUACUGACGGUGGGGAUUGCGUCUGAUUAGCUCGUGGGAGGGGAAACGGCCAACCAGGGCGAGGAACAGUAGCCGGUCUGAGAGGAUGAACGGCCACAUUGGGACUGGGACACGGCCCAGACUCCUACGGGAGGCAGCAUGGGGGAAUCUUCCGCAAUGGACGAAAGUCUGACGGAGCAACGCCGCGUGAGUGAUGACGGCCUUCGGGUUGUAAAGCUCUGUUAAUCGGGACGCGGUACCGGAAUAGAAAGCCACGGCUAACUACGUGCCAGCAGCCGCGGUAAUAC